CAGUACAAAGACUUCUAUAGUAAAAUUGGAAAUAUACAGAGAAGAUUAGCAUGGCCCCUGCGAAAGGAUGACACGCAAAUUCGUGAAGCGUUCCAUAUUUUU